rnacentral:lncRNA from 1 species
AUGCCUCCCAUCUUCCCUCUGCAAGCCACAGGUGUCCGUACCUGUGUUUGUUUGCAUGUGGGACACUUCACUGAACAAAGCAACACCUGCUUUAGGAGGGCUGGAGCCACUGUCACGGGAGCUUUGGAGGAGAGGCCAGAGGACACGUUAGCCAGGUGUGUCCCGAGGAGAUUCCACCUCCUGCAUGGGCCUGGGUGGGGUGAUUGCUCUGCUGUCCCUCCCUUUUCCCUGAGAUCAAGGUCAAGAGGCAGGCUGGUACCACUUGGCUGGGGAGGCAAUAAGCCAUUUUCCAGCCUGUUCCAAAUGGAAGGCCUGGAUGCCGGCCAGACCACUAGCGUAUGUUGGAAUCCCUCCCUGGAGACUGGAGAAACUCGGCCAUCGUCUGCUGUGCGCCUGACUCCUUCCAGACAAAUGCUCCUGUCCUUCCUCAGGAGCAUGACCUUCUUUCAUCAUUAGCAGUGAUAUUAUUGAUAAUUAUUAUCCUUACUGUGCUCAUCUAUCGUGCAUCUUCCUUGUGCUGUGCUCUGUUUGUAUCCCAUUGACUUCUCAACCCAUCCCUGAGAGGCAGAAGUGAGGUGCAGAGAAGGGCACGUUAAUUAUCAUCCCCCCUUUUUUUCUGCUGAGAAAACUGAGGCCAGACCAGUGCGUCUGAGAACCCACAUCUAGAGAGCUGUGAUUCAGAUCCGCCGCUGCUGGCUCCCCAGGCUGGGUGGCUACCCGGCGUCUCCCUGCGUGCACGCUCUCCACCGUGAACCCUCUGGAACGGACCGACCCAGGACGGGGACUCCGAGGCUGGGGCUGUUUGGGUCCUGGAUCAAGGAUUUCAAGUGUAGGUCCUGGAAGGGGGACAGGAGCAUGUGCACAUGUUGAGCAGUCUGAGAACCUCCCAGCAGUAAAGAAGCAUUAGAGAGCCCCCAGUGAGGACCUGUAAUGUCAGGGCGGGUAAAGGGGUGGAGAACUGGCAGGUCCCCGGCUGCCUGGCCCAGGACACCAUCUCCCAGCCUGCUGGGCAGUCACCGGGGAGUGCAGGGCUGGCCCUGGGUUGCCAGCACCAGCCCCAGGACCAGCAUCGUGCUCUCUGCCAGCUGUCCCCCGGCACCCUGGGCCGUGUCCUGGCACGUGCCCUUGACGCCCCCCCCCCCAGAAUGAAUGCUAGUUGGGCUGGGUGCCCUGAUGGAACAACCAAGCAGCUGUGCUCAGGGACCCCACAGGAACAGUCAGAGUCCCAUUGUCCUGUAGUGGCCUGCCCCACCUCUCCUGCCCUGCCUGCCCCAUGGGCCUCUGGCCUCGGUCAUUCCGUGACGGGGACAUGGGACAGGCCGGCUGAGCUGAAUGCUGAGAGCCCAGAGGGACAGAGUUCAUAAUCUCCAAGCGGAAAAGAAGGAGCCCCUCCAAGAGACUCAGGUCAUCAGAAUCAAGUAGGUGGCCAGAUGUCCCCGGAAAGUCACUUCUGGGAGAUUAGACCUUGGGCAUUUUCUUGCCUCUCUUUUUUUGGGGGGCGGGGCGGUGUGUGUGACAGAGGACAAAAUAGUGCAAACCACAGUGACUGAAGAGAGGAACGAUUCCCCCAGAGUGAGAAGAGGGCAGCUGUCAGGAGCAAAAUGGAAUGGUCGAAAUGUAUGAAAAAUUGGCUCCAUAGAUUUGGGAGUGUAAGUCUGUGUUGUUUGUUUUGAGUCACUGGGAAAGUCAUAAAUUGUUUUAUCAAGAGAGAUGAUAAAAGCAGAGGGAGCCCUGGGAGAGGCAGGACAGGCUGCGCGGUACCCCAGACGUACCCCGCACCCAUCCUUCGGCCAUGGUACGGACUUGCACCUGCUGGAACUCGAGCCAGCUGCUUUCAUGAGGCUCCAUCCUCUGGCCCUGGGUCCUUCCCGCCAUCCCAGGAGGGUGGCUGAGACCUGUCCUGCCUUGGGGUUAAAUCCUGACACAUCCCCAAGGCAUAUGUGCAGGGAACUUGUGUGUUGUGGCAGUUGGGGAAAUCCAGAGCCCUUAUUCUUCACCAUGUGGCUAAGCAGCCACCAGUGAUCCCGGGGGCUGUCCCACUACGGUCUUAAGGAACGAGAGAAUCACUGCACGUCCAGUCCAAAGCAUUGUCCCAGCAAUCUGGGUGAUUCUGACCAGGGCUCUGUAUGCUGGUAGGAAGGGAGUUUCCAAACGUUCACACUUCGGGGGGACGGAGUCUCUGAGAGGUUUGUGAGAGCUUGGGCUGGUCGGCAGGAGCCCAGGGCAUCCAUGUAGCAACGUUUCUCCACCAUUAUGCCAGUGGUUCUCAAUCUUGGAAGAUUCUGUCCUUUCGGGGGAUCUUUGGCAAUGUCCGGAGACAAUUUUGGUUUUCACAACUUGGUGGGGGGUGACCUUCUACUGGCAUCUAGCGGAUAGGAGCCUGCGAUGCUGUUGAGCACCCCCAACAACACAGAAUGAAUGAACUGGCCCCAAAACACCAAUUGUGGUGAAAUGGGGAAAGCCGGCGGUGGGCAAUGCUAGCUCCAAAGCUCUACCUUUCCCCCUUUUGUGAGUCGUCGAAUGCAUCAGAGCUCUUCUGGGCAACAGCAGGGAUCCCGGCUGCAGCCCUGAGGUCAGAUAAUCCCAGCAGAGGGCAGUGGCCUGCAGCCUAGCAAGUCUUGGGUAUCCAUGGACUCCCCAUUCCCACCACCUUGGGCUCUCAAGGGGAGACUCGGCCCGGAUGGAGGAAGCCCUACAAAGCGGAUGGGAAGGCGAGGCUGAACUUGUCCCAGUAGCUGUGGUCCCUGGGACCUGGAGGGACCUGACUUCUGCUGCAUCUGAGAAGCGCUUCUUGGGGGGGGGGGGGGGAGCAGGGAGCUUGGAAAGGAUGAGGAUGGGAGGGGCUGCCUAACAGCCUGUGGACAAACCUGCAUCUUAACCUUGUUUUUGACUCUCCAUGUGCCCCAUCCCACCCCCCCACCCCUGAUUGAAGGCAUAGUCACACUUUCUACUAUUUAAAGUUUUGCAGAAACCGUAUUGUAACGAGCCGCUCUCCAGACACCAGUUCUUCACGCAGAGAGAAUCAGAAACGUUUCUGUGUCUUACUAAUGUUUUCAUAAUCAACUUGUAAGUAGUUUACUUAAUUAAAAAAAAAGGUAUUUUAACUAUUCUUGUAACCCUUUGCUACUCAACACCCCCCACCCCCAGUUUUGCGAUGAGAUCACUAACUUUUACUACAGUGAAAAGACGAUUUCUUAAUGGAGGGCUUCAAGGCGCUCUUUGGUGAAAAAUAUCUAACCUUGAUGGAUGUAAAAAUGUGGCUGUGGAGUCGUGUCCGUUGUCAGCACUAUUGCUUUUGUCUUUUUCUAUUAUGAUCAUUAAACACAAAAACCAAAAACAUUACCUCCUAAGUGUCUGAAUCCAAC